GAACAGCUCUGUCAGCACUGGGCUUU
rnacentral:piRNA from 1 species